GGCUCCGUGGCUCAACUGAAUAGAGCAUCAGACUUCGGAUCUGAGGGUUGCGGGUUUGAAUCCCGCCGGGGUCA
rnacentral:tRNA from 1 species